rnacentral:rRNA from 1 species
GAUGAACGCUAGCGGCAGGCUUAACACAUGCAAGUCGAGGGGCAGCGCGGGAUAGCAAUAUCCUGGCGGCGACCGGCGGAAGGGUGCGUAACGCGUGAGCGACAUGCCCGUUGCCCGGGGACAACCGGUGGAAACGCCGACUAAUCCCCGAUGGGAUACGAUGCUUCAUGGCAUUGUAUUGAAAGUUACGGCGGCGACGGAUUGGCUCGCGUCCGAUUAGCUGGUUGGCGGGGUAACAGCCCACCAAGGCUGCGAUCGGUAGGGGUUCUGAGAGGAAGGCCCCCCACAAUGGGACUGAGACACGGCCCAUACUCCUACGGGAGGCAGCAGUGAGGAAUAUUGGUCAAUGGGCGGAAGUCUGAACCAGCCAUGCCGCGUGCGGGAAGGAGGCCCUAUGGGCUGUGAACCGCUUUUGCCUGGGGGCAAUAAGGGCGUCGCGCACGUCCGAUGAGAGUACCAGGCGAAUAAGCAUCGGCUAACUCCGUG